ensembl:lncRNA
GCUGCGUCUGCCCACAACCCAAGGCUUUUUGGAUUGAGAUGAGGGCUUAAUGCAAUCUGCUCUUGGGGAAGGCUCAGUGUGAACUCGCUCAGCGCCCAGCAAAGGGAGCAACACCAAUGCACAGUGCCAGUUCCUCCUCCCUGUGCUCAGCCAGGUGCUGGCGGUGGGCACGGGAGCAGCAGGCUGAGCAUCCGCACGUUGGCCUGCGUGCAGCUCAGAAGUCAUCAUUAGCCUAACUCAUUAAGCCAUUAACGAUGCUCGAGCGUGUAAAGUGCAUUAAAAACCUCUUUUUAAGCAGCGAGUUAACCCCACAGCUUCUAGGGUCAGUGAAAAUGGAAAUGCAUGGCAUUAGUGCAGGAUUUAAGGGCUGGCCGGUGCUGCCCUCUCCUCCCUUGGGAAGAUGCAGUAGAUACUUCAUUUAUCACACGAACUAAUAGGGUUUGGGCCGCCUGGAGAAAUAAGUGGGUCUGUAUCAAGGGAUUCAUAUGGAAAAAGGAGUGCUUUUGUGGGAGUAAUGUCUUGCUAAGCUUCCUUUGUGCCCUCUCUUUCCCAGGGUCCCACAGCAGGCUCCCUACUGAGAUGCUGAUUUUGCUCCUUUUGGGACUCCUUUGGGACUCCUUUAGGGCUCCUUUAGGCUCUCUUGGGUAUCCCUUGGUGCUCCUACGGGGCUCACAUAUGGCUCCUAUAGGGCUCUUUUAGAGCUUCUAUAGGACUCCUUUGGGGCUCCUUUUUGGCCCCUCUGGGGGUCCUUUGAGGUUCCUAUAAGUCUUAUUUGGAGCUCCUUUGGGGGUCCUAUGAGACCUCUUUGGGGCUCCUUUAGGGCUCCUGGGCUCCUUUAUGCUGUCUUGGGUCGCCCUUGGUGCUCCAAUGAGGCUCCUCUGUGGCUCCUAUAGGGCUCCUUAGGGUCUCCUAUAGAGUUUAUUUGGGGCUCCUUCAGGGCUUCUUUAGGCUCCCUUGGUGCUCCUUUGGGUCUCCUUUGGGGCUUCUAUAGGGCUUAUUUGGGGCUCCUUUGGGGCUUCUAUAGGGCUUAUUUGGAGCUCCUUUGGGGC